UACGGGGGGGGCAAGCGUUGUUCGGAAUUACUGGGCGUAAAGGGCUCGUAGGCGGCCAUCUAAGUCAGACGUGAAAUCCCUCGGCUUAACCGGGGAACUGCGUCUGAUACUGGAUGGCUUGAGUCUGGGAGAGGGAUGCGGAAUUCCAGGUGUAGCGGUGAAAUGCGUAGAUAUCUGGAGGAACACCCGUGGCGAAGGCGGCUUCCUGGGACGGUACUGACGCUGAGACGCGAAAGCGUGGGGAGCAAACGGG
rnacentral:rRNA from 1 species